rnacentral:rRNA from 1 species
CUGAUGCAGCGACGCCGCGUGAGGGAUGACGGCCUUCGGGUUGUAAACCUCUUUCAGCACAGACGAAGCGCAAGUGACGGUAUGUGCAGAAGAAGGACCGGCCAACUACGUGCCAGCAGCCGCGGUAAUACGUAGGGUCCGAGCGUUGUCCGGAAUUACUGGGCGUAAAGAGCUCGUAGGUGGUUUGUCGCGUUGUUCGUGAAAACUCACAGCUUAACUGUGGGCGUGCGGGCGAUACGGGCAGACUUGAGUACUGCAGGGGAGACUGGAAUUCCUGGUGUAGCGGUGGAAUGCGCAGAUAUCAGGAGGAACACCGGUGGCGAAGGCGGGUCUCUGGGCAGUAACUGACGCUGAGGAGCGAAAGCGUGGGGAGCGAACAGGAUUAGAUACCCUGGUAGUCCACGCCGUAAACGGUGGGUACUAGGUGUGGGUUUCCUUCCUUGGGAUCCGUGCCGUAGCUAACGCAUUAAGUACCCCGCCUGGGGAGUACGGCCGCAAGGCUAAAACUCAAAGAAAUUGACGGGGGCCCGCACAAGCGGCGGAGCAUGUGGAUUAAUUCGAUGCAACGCGAAGAACCUUACCUGGGUUUGACAUGCACAGGACGCUGGUAGAGAUAUCAGUUCCCUUGUGGCCUG